rnacentral:rRNA from 1 species
GUUAAAAGCUCGUAGUUGAAUUUCUAAUUAGUUGAUAGUUGGCUUUCAGUCGCUNUUANCUAGUUAUCCGACACUGAACUAUGACGGUUAUUAAGUUAACCCCAUAGCGAAUUGUCAUUUUACUUUGAAAAAAUUAGAGUGUUUCAGGCAGGCAAUUGCCCGAAUAUCUUAGCAUGGAAUAAUGGAAUAGGACUUUGGUUCAUUUGAUUGGUUAUUGAAUCAAAGUAAUGAUUAAUAGGGACAGUUGGGGGCAUUAGUAUUUAAUUGUCAGAGGUGAAAUUCUUGGAUUUAUUAAAGACUAACUUAUGCGAAAGCAUUUGCCAAGGAUGUUUUCAUUAAUCAAGAACGAAAGUUAGGGGAUCAAAGACGAUCAGAUACCGUCCUAGUCUUAACUAUAAACUAUACCGACUCAGGAUUGGCCAUGUAUUAACUUGGUCAGCACUGUAUGAGAAAUUAAAGUCUUUGGGUUCUGGGGGGAGUAUGGUCGCAAGGCUGAAACUUAAAGGAAUUGACGGAAGGGCACCACCAGGAGUGGAGCCUGCGGCUUAAUUUGACUCAACACGGGGAAACUUACCAAGGCCAAACAGAGGUGGGAUUGACAGAUUGAGAGCUCUUUCUUGAUUCUUUGGGUGGUGGUGCAUGGCCGUUCUUAGUUGGUGGAGUGAUUUGUCUGGUUAAUUCCGUUAACGAACGAGACCUUAACCUGCUAACUAGUUCAUAUUCUCACAGAGUAUGAUACUUCUUAGAGGGACUAUAUAUGUCAAGUAUAUGGAAGUUUGAGGCAAUAACAGGUCUGUGAUGCCCUUAGAUGCCUUGGGCCGCACGCGCGCUACAAUGACAUGCUCAACGAGUUCUAUCCUGAUUCGUAAGAAUUUGGGUAAUCUUUAUAGGACAUGUCGUGUUAGGGAUCGAUCUUUGGAAUUAUAGAUCUUGAACGAGGAAUUCCUAGUAAGUGCAAGUCAUCAGCUUGUACUGAUUACGUCCCUGCCCUUUGUACACACCGCCCGUCGCUGCUACCGAUUUCGAGUGUCCGGUGACACAUGGACUUGUCGAGCAUCGAUGAGAGUGUAGUAAACUUAUCACUUAAAG